UACGUACGAGGCGAGCGUUAUCCGGAAUUACUGGGCGUAAAGCGUGCGCAGGCGGUUUUGUAAGUCUGUCGUGAAAUCCCCGGGCUCAACCUGGGAAUUGCGAUGGAGACUGCAAGGCUGGAGUCUGGCAGAGGGGGGUAGAAUUCCACGUGUAGCAGUGAAAUGCGUAGAGAUGUGGAGGAACACCGAUGGCGAAGGCAGCCCCCUGGGUCAAGACUGACGCUCAUGCACGAAAGCGUGGGGAGCAAACAGG
rnacentral:rRNA from 1 species